GUUCGUUUCGGCAGCAUAUACUAAAAUUGGAACGAUACAGAGAAGAUUAGCAGGUCCCCUGCGCAAGGAUGACACGCACAUUCAUGAAGAGCUCCAUAUUUAA